rnacentral:lncRNA from 1 species
GUUGAUCAUAUCAACAUGUUUCUAUACUAGCUACAUCUAAUGUAUGUAUUAAAUAAUAGAUCAGAUCUAUUACCUUGCAAGUUAGACACUCUAACCUUGCUGAUCUGGGCUUGAGGAUGAUGUUGCAAGCUGCACACGCAUCCGGCCUCUAGGAGUCAUCCACACGAGCCCACGAAUCUCGAUCAAAAGUCCUGCUUCAGGAAAU